UACAGCCUGUGAUGAAAGAAGUUAUCCCUGUCUGAAAAUAAUGUGUGGACUUAUGGUAACCUGAGGCUUGU